rnacentral:rRNA from 1 species
GAUGAACGCUAGCUACAGGCUUAACACAUGCAAGUCGAGGGACCGGCGCACGGGUGAGUAACACGUACACAAUCUGCCCUUUACUCGGGGAUAGCCUUUCGAAAGAAAGCUUAAUACCAGAUCCAAUGGAUGGGGAGGCGUUCCAUUAGGUUGUUGGUGAGCUAACGGCUCACCAAGCCUUCGAUGGAUAGGGGUUCUGUGAGGAGGGUCCCCCGCAUUGUAACUGAGACACUGUCCAAACUGCUGCGGGAGGCAGGAGUGAGGAAUAAUGGUCAAAGGGCGCGAGCCUGAACCAGCCAAGUAGCGUGAAGGAUGAAGGCUUAUGGGUCUUAAACUUCGUAUAAAUAAAAAGAUGAAUUAUAUGAAUAAGGAUCGGCUAACUCCGGGCCAGCAGCCGCGGUAAAC